rnacentral:siRNA from 1 species
AUGGUGCAUGUAAAGAUAAAGUGU